GACGAACGCUGGCGGCGUGCCUAAUACAUGCAAGUCGAACGCAGUGGGGACGGGUGAGUAACACGUGGGUAACCUCCCAUCAGAGGGGAUAACACUUGGAAACAGGUGCUAAACCGAUACUGAUGGAUGGACCCGCGGUGCUUUAGCUAGUUGUUGGGGUAACGGCGCACCAAGGCCACGAUGCAUAGACGCCCUGCGAGGGUGACCGGCCACACUGGUACUGGACCACGGCCCAGACUCCUACGGUGGGCAGCAUUAGGGAAUCGUCGGCAAUGGACGAAAGUCUGACCGAGCAACGCCGCGUGAGUGAAGAAGGUUUUCGGAACGUAAAACUCUGUUGUUAGAGAAGCGGUAUCUAACCAGAAAGCCACGGCUAACUACGUGCCAGCAGCCGCGGUAAUUC
rnacentral:rRNA from 1 species